UAAAUAAAACAAAAGGUAAGAAUAAGAGGUAAAUUAGCUAAUUUAUCAAUAUAAUGAUUUUCUUCACGAAAAAUAUAUGAAAAAUUUUCAACUCCACAUAUUUACAAAAAUAUAAGUAUUGACAUCAUCUUUCUAAGACUCCAAGGAAUCACUCAUUAAAAAAAAAAAAAAAAACAUGACAUACUAAAAAAGAAUUACUCUCAAACCAAAGCCUUUGAAAGUCCUCCC
rnacentral:lncRNA from 1 species